rnacentral:tRNA from 1 species
GGAGAGGUGUCUGAGUGGUUGAAAGAGCACGCUUGGAAAGUGUGUAUGUCUCGUAAGGGGCAUCGAGGGUUCGAAUCCCUCUCUCUCCACCA